rnacentral:rRNA from 1 species
GAUGAACGCUGGCGGCGUGCCUAAUACAUGCAAGUCGAGCGAACAGACGAGGAGCUUGCUCCUCUGACGUUAGCGGCGGACGGGUGAGUAACACGUGGAUAACCUACCUAUCAGACUGGGAUAACUUCGGGAAACCGGAGCUAAUACCGGAUAACAUGUUGAACCGCAUGGUUCAACAGUGAAAGACGGUCUUGCUGUCACUUAUAGAUGGAUCCGCGCCGCAUUAGCUAGUUGGUAAGGUAACGGCUUACCAAGGCAACGAUGCGUAGCCGACCUGAGAGGGUGAUCGGCCACACUGGAACUGAGACACGGUCCAGGCUCCUACGGGAGGCAGCAGUAGGGAAUCGUCCGCAAUGGGCGAAAGCCUGACGGAGCAACGGCGCGUGAGUGAAGAAGGUCUUCGGAUCGUAAAACUCUGUUAUGAGGGAAGAACAAAUGUGUAAGUAACUAUGCACGUCGUGACGGUACCUAAUCAGAAAGCCACGGCUAACUACGUG